rnacentral:rRNA from 1 species
AUUGAACGCUGGCGGCAGGCCUAACACAUGCAAGUCGAACGGUAGCACAGAGAGCUUGCUCUCGGGUGACGAGUGGCGGACGGGUGAGUAAUGUCUGGGAAACUGCCUGAUGGAGGGGGAUAACUACUGGAAACGGUAGCUAAUACCGCAUAACGUCGCAAGACCAAAGAGGGGGACCUUCGGGCCUCUUGCCAUCAGAUGUGCCCAGAUGGGAUUAGCUAGUAGGUGGGGUAACGGCUCACCUAGGCGACGAUCCCUAGCUGGUCUGAGAGGUUGACCAGCCACACUUGACCGGCGACACGGGCCAGACUCCUACGGGAGGCCGCAGUGGGGAAUAUUGCACAAUGGGCGCAAGCCUGAUGCAGCCAUGCCGCGUGUAUGAAGAAGGCCUUCGGGUUGUAAAGUACUUUCAGCGGGGAGGAAGGCGAUAAGGUUAAUAACCUUGUCGAUUGACGUUACCCGCAGAAGAAGCACCGGCUAACUCCGUGCCAGCCGCCGCAGUAA